GAUGAACGCUGGCGGCGUGCCUAAUACAUGCAAGUCGAGCGAAAAGACGCGGAUCUUGCUCCUCUGACGUUAGCGGCGGACGGGUGAGUAACACGUGGAUAACCUACCUAUUAGACUGGGAUAACUUCGGGAAACCGGAGCUAAUACCGGAUAAUACAUUGAACUGCUUGGUUAAAUAGUGAAGGACGGUUUUGCUGUCCAUUAUAGAUGGAUCGCCGACGCAUUAGCUAGUUGGUGAGGGAACGGCCUACCAAGCCAACGGUGCGUAGCCGACCUGAGAGGGUGAUCGGGGACGCUGGAACUGGGACUCGGUCCCGGCUCCGACGGGAAGCAGAAGUAGGAGAGGGGACGCAAGCAGCAAAAGCCUAACGGUGCUACGGCGCGUGAGUGAGGAAGGUGUUCGCAUCGGAGUUGUCAGUUACUUGGGUAAGACAAAUGUGUAAGUAACUUUGGACGGCUUAACGUUACUUAAUCAGAAAGCCACGGCUAACUACGUG
rnacentral:rRNA from 1 species